rnacentral:rRNA from 1 species
UACGUAGGGGGCAAGCGUUGUCCGGAAUCAUUGGGCGUAAAGCGCGUGUAGGCGGCUCGAUAAGUCUGCUGUGAAAGUUCAGGGCUCAACCCUGAAAUGCCGGUGGAAACUGUCGAGCUAGAGUACGGAAGAGGUGAGUGGAAUUCCUGGUGUAGCGGUGAAAUGCGCAGAUAUCAGGAGGAACACCAAUGGCGAAGGCAGCUCACUGGGACGUUACUGACGCUGAGACGCGAAAGCGUGGGGAGCGAACAGG